rnacentral:rRNA from 1 species
AAUGAACGUUGGCGGCGUGGAUUAGGCAUGCAAGUCGAGCGAGAACCCCGCAAGGGGGGACAGCGGCAAACGGGGUAGUAAUGUGUCGGAACGUGCCCGGAAGACGGGGAUAGCGGCGGGAAACUGCCGGUAAUACCCGAUGAUCUCGAGAGAGCAAAGGUGUGAGUCCGCUUCCGGAGCGGCCGACAUGGUAUUAGCUAGUUGGCGGGGUAACGGCCCACCAAGGCGAUGAUGCCUAGGGGAUGUGAGAGCAUGAUCCCCACCAUUGGGACUGAGAAACUGCCCAGACACCUACGGGUGGCUGCAGUCGAGAAUCUUCGUCAAUGGGCGAAAGCCUGAACGAGCGACGCCGCGUGCGGGAUGAAGGCCCUUGGGUUGUAAACCGCUGUCGAGGGGGAUGAAGGCUGGAAGGUACUCCUUCCAGUUUGACAGAGCCCUGGAGGAAGCACGGGCUAAGUUCGUGCCAGCCGCCGCUGUAAAAC